UUCUGUUUGUAAGAAAGAGAUGACAAUAUGGCAAUUUCAAUAUGUUUGAAAAAUACAUACACAAAAAAAAAAUAUUUGAUUGUUGACGUCAUUCAAAAUAUUUGAAAAAUAUACACAUAUGUAUGCACAAAUAUAUAUGACCAACCCAUAUAUAGCGAAACCUACGAAGGCCGACACAAUGAAGAUAAUGGAAUAUAUGGCAGCCACUAAUGAAAAACAAAUUAAUAUCAUUAUGGAUAAAAGAAAAUUACAAGGACUUUACCAGCUUCAUAAUCCUCGCUGUAUUUGGACGAUUCGACAGCCCCGGUGAAUAUUCUUGGAUUUCCCAAACCAACGAGUCCUAGGAGUAAACACAAAACGCUACCAGCCACACCUAGCCAGCCAAUAAUGUAACCAGCGGUGCGAAGUUCCAAGCAACCCGCUCUUUCCA